rnacentral:rRNA from 1 species
AGAGUUUGAUCAUGGCUCAGGACGAACGCUGGCGGCGUGCGUAAUACAUGCAAGUUGAACGAUGAUUUCUGGUACUUGUAUCAGAAUGAAGAGUAGCGAACGGGUGAGUAACGCGUGGGUAACCUACCUCUUAGCGGGGGACAACUAUUGGACAACGAUAGCUAAUACCGCAUAACAAUAUUAAACACAUGUUUAAUAUUUGAAAGUACCAAUUGGUACACUAGGAGAUGGACCCGCGUUGUAUUAGCUAGUUGGUAGUGUAAUGGACUACCAAGGCGAUGAUACAUAGCCGACCUGAGAGGGUGAUCGGCCACAUUGGGACUGAGACACGGCCCAAACUCCUACGGGAGGCAGCAGUAGGGAAUCUUCGGCAAUGGACGAAAGUCUGACCGAGCAACGCCGCGUGAGUGAAGAAGGUUUUCGGAUCGUAAAACUCUGUUGUUAGAGAAGAACGUUGUGUAGAGUGGAAAAUUACACAAGUGACGGUAUCUAACCAGAAAGGGACGGCUAACUACGUGCCAGCAGCCGCGGUCAAUACGUAGGUCCCGAGCGUUGUCCGGAUUUAUUGGGCGUAAAGCGAGCGCAGGUGGUUUAAUAAGUCUGAUGUAAAAGGCAGUGGCUCAACCAUUGUGUGCAUUGGAAACUGUUAGACUUGAGUGCAGUAGAGGAGAGUGGAAUUCCAUGUGUAGCGGUGAAAUGCGUAGAUAUAUGGAGGCAACACCGGUGGCGAAAGCGGCUCUCUGGACUGUAACUGACACUGAGGCUCGAAAGCGUGGGUAGCAAACAGGAUUAGAUACCCUGGUAGUCCACGCCGUAAACGAUGAGUGCUAGUUGUUUGGGGCUAUCCAGCCCUAAGUGACGCAGCA